CACAGGGAGACAGAAAGAACACAGCUCUUUCUACAGGGCUGGAGAUUUCCACAGGGAGACAGACAGAACACAGCUCUUUCUACAGGGUUGGAGAUUUCCACAGGGAGACAGAAAGAACACAGCUCUUUCUACAGGGCUGGAGAUUUCCACAGGGAGACAGACAGAACACAGCUCUUUCUACAGGGUUGGAGAUUUCCACAGGGAGACAGAAAGAACACAGCUCUUUCUACAGGGCUGGAGAUUUCCACAGGGAGACAGACAGAACACAGCUCGUUCCACAGGGUUGGAGAUUUCCACAGGGAGACAGACAGAACACAGCUCAUUCCACAGGGUUGGAGAUUUCCACAGGGAGACAGACAGAACACAGCUCGUUCCACAGGGUUGGAGAUUUCCACAGUGAGACAGACAGAACACAGCUCAUUCCACAGGGCUGGAGAUUUCCACAGUGAGACAGAACACAGCUUUUUCCACAGGGCUGGAAGUUUCCACAGUGACACAGCCUGAACACACAUUCUCCUCCUACAGGGCUGUGUAUUAACUUGUGAUACUCACGUCUUAGUUGCUCAAAUCAUACAAUGAUUGGGAGAUUUGCAUGACAUUUCGAGACUCUGGCAUGGGGGUGCAGGUGUUUAGAGCGUUGGACUUGUAACUGAAAGUUUGCAAGAUCGAAUCCCUGAGCUAACAAGGUAAAUAUCUGUUGUUCUGCCCCUGAACAAGGCAGUUAACCAACUGUUCUUAGGCAGUCAUUGAAAAUAAGAAUUUGUUCUUAACUGACUUGCCUAGUUAAAUGAAGGUAAAAAUGUUUAAAUAAAUAAAUAUCAAGACUCUGUGAAGUUAGUAUUUCAGUCUGCUCUAUAUUAACACUGUUCAGAUGAACUUACCCCAAACCAUAUUUACUGUGUAAAACAUAGAGAAACUGGAGAUUUGUUUAAAUAUAUGAGUCACAGAGAGCUGUUCUAGAUAUCUGAGAUAUUGUCAACCCUAUUUUGGUAUGAAUGUUGAAGCUGCUGAAUUGAAUGUGGGAUGUUUUUAUAUGUCUUGUACACGUCAUGGCUAUGUGCUCAAGUUCACCCCAUGAGUUGAAACGAGUGAACUAAAUUGUAUUUGAGCAUCUGUAAGAUACCCUAUUCAGAGAAAGAUCUCAUCAGAGUCAACAUCAUUGUCCAAUUUAAGCUACAUUUGUGACAAAAUAGUGUAAGGUUUAUGACACUGUACUCUUUAUUCUUUCAAUUAAGACAAACCGAAAGAUAUGAGAAAUAAUUGUAAUUCCGAAAUGAUUAUAUAUCUUCUUACUCCCAUAAUCACGACUAAGACAGUGAUUCUAAUGAGAUUCUAUUCAUGGAGAUUCUAUGUUCAUUAGAGAUGUCAAUAAGAUGAUGAAUGUUGCCUAGAAUUACAGUGCUGUUUACAUUCGUACUGCUCACUUGAGAUAAUCCAGUUUAUGUUGUUAAAUCACAUCGUGAUGAUUAUUUAUCAAGCCUAUCAGCAUAUAUUUGUGCUAGCUUUGUGAUUUCAUGAGAAACGGUGAUGAACUAUGUAGAAUUCCAAUAGGUAAAAGGCAAGGCAGCUCAAUAAUUCAUCUGUGUACAUGGAAUGCAUAUGCAAUGGUCUCUGCAUUUCUACCCUAUCAAGAUGUCAGCUGUAGUCAUUCACUGACAAACAGCUAAGAUGAGAGGACAGAUGUACACUGACACUGUCUACACUCCACAGAGCAUUCGCAAGGUUCAUGCAUACCAACCAGAGCCAUGUAUUUCCAGAAGUUCCUGCAUUAUGACACAUUUACAUGACACUGCAACAUUCUAUGGUAGCUCCCCAUUAACAUUACCUGGGGUAUAUUUGAAUAUUGCUAUGUAACUUUAUGUCUAGAAUUAGAUCAAUAUUCAACAUUCUAAAAUUGGCACAACUCUCUAAAAAGACAUGGCUCUGAUACCAACCUCCUUCCCUCAGUGCCGACUCUAUAGAAUCUCUACAGGCCAUGUUUACUGCUGACACAAAAUCUGAUAAGCAACUGUGUCUGCAGCUCUCCUAAGUUAGUGGACUUUGGGUUUGGUUUGGGGUUUAGCUGCUUUCUCUGCCGUGUAGAAGUGUAGAAUGUAACACGAUGCUAUCGGUGUGAUAUUGGAGAUGGUUUCUGUUGAUAUUUGAUGAUAUAUUUAGUCGUUUCAUUCAGCUUCGUAAAACGUGAGAAUAUAUGUUACCGGCUGUUUAGAAACAUGUUUACUUCUGAAGGAGUAGGAGAGGGAAGUCUAGCCUACAGAGCAGUGUUUCCCAAACGGUGAGCCGGGGCCCUCUGGUGGGCCACAGACGGUUUCUCUUGGUCCCAGCUGGGCUCAGGUGGGUCACAAAGGUUUCUCUUGGUCCCAGCUGGGCUCAGGUGGGUCACAAAGGUUUCUCUUGGUCCCAGCUGGGCUCAGGUGGGUCACAGACGGUUUCUCUUGGUCCCAGCUGGGUCACAGACGGUUUCUCUUGGUCCCAGCUGGGCUCAGGUGGGUCACAAAGGUUUCUCUUGGUCCCAGCUGGGCUCAGGUGGGUCACAGACGGUUUCUCUUGGUCCCAGCUGGGUCACAGACGGUUUCUCUUGGUCCCAGCUGGGCUCAGGUGGGUCACAAAGGUUUCUCUUGGUCCCAGCUGGGCUCAGGUGGGUCACAAAGGUUUGGGAUCCACUGGGCUGUGGUACGUAAGGUAGGAAAUGUGGCAGGUUUUUGCUUUCGUUUCCUAGCCAUUGCAGAAUCAUUGUAACUGUACUGCAGAGUAACUUCUGAAUCAUUAUUAAAAACCUCUCAUUGUAAUGUUCUACUGCAAGACUCAAC
ensembl:lncRNA